rnacentral:lncRNA from 1 species
GAGAGAGCGUCUUGUGGCUGCGGCCUGCCCCUCAGCCUCCUCCGCGCGGUUACCCCUGUACCCGCCGCCAUCCGUCCUGGCGCUCCGGAUGAGUCAAUGAGGGGCAGGGCCCGAGGAGUGGUCUUCCCAAGAACCCCUGGUGGCCUCCCAAGGCCGGUGCUGUGUACCUCCUCCCCGACAAAAGGGGAAACUGAGGCCCCGAGGGGAGUGGGAAGAGCCGGCUGGACGUCAGGCCCAGCCGCUGGUGCAGUGGUCCGUCCCCUCUGCCGGGGCCUCGUGGGCUGUGCGGCUAUCCUGGAGACAGAUGACAGCUCUCCCUUGGAUGGCUUUGCUGGUUCCGCACCAGCCAGCGCCCCCAUUUUUCCUGCAGCACCCUGAUCUGCACUCCCUGAGGGGCUCCCACUGUCCGCGGUGUGAGGAUGUCCCUGGAUAGUCCACUGUGUGCAGAGGCAUGGGAGUUGUCAUGUUGGGAACAUGCUAGACCUCAGUAUCCUUGAGGGAUGCUGCCUUGGGUCUGGAAACUGUUAGAGGAAACCCCAAGAGGUGCAGGCACUGAGCCUCUCAGGACAAUGACCUGGGGUCCCAGCUCCCCUGGAGGGGCCUCCUCAUGAUUGUUUGGGGGUUGAUCACAGACCAAGAGUGACGAGUGAUGUCACCCUGUGACUCAUGGCUGGACCUUCUUGCCCCUAUUGUCUCAGCACAACAUUAUUCGACUUUUCCCUCAGCGUGGGUGGGCAGAGGAAAAGCCCUGUGGCUCUGGGGACUUGGGAUCCAGAGUUGAAGACCCUUCAGCUGGCUCUGCCCUGCCAGUGCCACAGAGUGCCAUGGCCCAGGAAGACAGGUUUUCUUCCAUCUAGGCCAGGCCAUCCAGUGGCCAUCCUCCGUGUCCUCCCGCCUCCUCCUGGUGUGACUUCUGAAAACCAAGAAUUUGUUCCUGUUGACUUUUUCUGUGCUAUGGACCAUUGUCCUCUCACCCACUCAAUAAAUCUUGAAACAUGCC